AUAGCUGAGAGGCACAGGAUGUUGGUUUCCUUUGAACCCAAUGCAAUUCUGCAGACUACUUCAAAUGAAGCUGGUACGCCCAUAUGGCUCAGUACCUUAUCCAUGAGAAAAGUUGGAGGCUAUGAGGACUCCCAGUUCAAAGUUUUAAAGCUGAUGAUGAAGCA